UACAUGCAAGUCGAACGCGUUGGCCCAAUUGAUUGAUGGUGCUUGCACCUGAUUGAUUUUGGUCGCCAACGAGUGGCGGACGGGUGAGUAACACGUAGGUAACCUGCCCAGAAGCGGGGGACAACAUUUGGAAACAGAUGCUAAUACCGCAUAACAGCGUUGUUCGCAUGAACAACGCUUAAAAGAUGGCUUCUCGCUAUCACUUCUGGAUGGACCUGCGGUGCAUUAGCUUGUUGGUGGGGUAAUGGCCUACCAAGGCGAUGAUGCAUAGCCGAGUUGAGAGACUGAUCGGCCACAAUGGGACUGAGACACGGCCCAUACUCCUACGGGAGGCAGCAGUAGGGAAUCUUCCACAAUGGGCGCAAGCCUGAUGGAGCAACACCGCGUGAGUGAAGAAGGGUUUCGGCUCGUAAAGCUCUGUUGUUAAAGAAGAACACGUAUGAGAGUAACUGUUCAUACGUUGACGGUAUUUAACCAGAAAGUCACGGCUAACUACGUGCCAGCAGCCGCGGUAAUACGUAGGUGGCAAGCGUUAUCCGGAUUUAUUGGGCGUAAAGAGAGUGCAGGCGGUUUUCUAAGUCUGAUGUGAAAGCCUUCGGCUUAACCGGAGAAGUGCAUCGGAAACUGGAUAACUUGAGUGCAGAAGAGGGUAGUGGAACUCCAUGUGUAGCGGUGGAAUGCGUAGAUAUAUGGAAGAACACCAGUGGCGAAGGCGGCUACCUGGUCUGCAACUGACGCUGAGACUCGAAAGCAUGGGUAGCGAACAGGAUUAGAUACCCUGGUAGUCCAUGCCGUAAACGAUGAGUGCUAGGUGUUGGAGGGUUUCCGCCCUUCAGUGCCGGAGCUAACGCAUUAAGCACUCCGCCUGGGGAGUACGACCGCAAGGUUGAAACUCAAAGGAAUUGACGGGGGCCCGCACAAGCGGUGGAGCAUGUGGUUUAAUUCGAAGCUACGCGAAGAACCUUACCAGGUCUUGACAUCUUGCGCCAACCCUAGAGAUAGGGCGUUUCCUUCGGGAACGCAAUGACAGGUGGUGCAUGGUCGUCGUCAGCUCGUGUCGUGAGAUGUUGGGUUAAGUCCCGCAACGAGCGCAACCCUUGUUACUAGUUGCCAGCAUUAAGUUGGGCACUCUAGUGAGACUGCCGGUGACAAACCGGAGGAAGGUGGGGACGACGUCAGAUCAUCAUGCCCCUUAUGACCUGGGCUACACACGUGCUACAAUGGACGGUACAACGAGUCGCGAACUCGCGAGGGCAAGCAAAUCUCUUAAAACCGUUCUCAGUUCGGACUGCAGGCUGCAACUCGCCUGCACGAAGUCGGAAUCGCUAGUAAUCGCGGAUCAGCAUGCCGCGGUGAAUACGUUCCCGGGCCUUGUACACACCGCCCGUCACACCAUGAGAGUUUGUAACACCCAAAGUCGGUGGGGUAACCUUUUAGGAGCCAGCCG
rnacentral:rRNA from 1 species